rnacentral:lncRNA from 1 species
UGUGAUUUUUUUGCCAUGUCUUUGUAUCUUUUACUUGAGUUUUUUUUAAUCAUAGUUUGACUGUCAUAGGUUUCGAUUUUAGUUUAUGUGAAGGAUUUAGGCUUCUAUCUUAUCAAAGUUGCAUACUUUUUUGAUUGUUGGUUUGUGGUAACCGAUCUCUUGUACCUGUUGUUGUUUCUCGUGACAUUGAGGGAGAAUGGAUUCGUAUUUGAUUGGGUAUUGACAUCUAUAAAGCAUGUAAAGUAUGUGGUUUGCAUUUUUGUAUGUCUUAGGUGAUUUUGUUUGAUUUAUUUUCACUAGUAUGUCUGUCUUUGGACUAUUGUUUUAUGAUUAAAAGUAGCAUGAAUAUUGAUUGUUGUGAUUGUAUUUGUUUCCUUGUGCAUUGUUCUCAGACACCUCGAGCUUUUC